AUUGAACGCUGGCGGCAUGCUUUACACAUGCAAGUCGAACGGUAACAGGCCUUCGGGUGCUGACGAGUGGCGUACGGGUGAGUAAUGCAUCGGAACGUGCCCAGAGUUGGGGGAUAACGCAGCGAAAGCUGUGCUAAUACCGCAUGUGAUCUGAGGAUGAAAGCGGGGGACCAGGCAGCAAUGUUUGGCCUCGCGCCUUUGGAGCGGCCGAUGUCAGAUUAGGUAGUUGGUGGGGUAAAGGCCUACCAAGCCGACGAUCUGUAGCUGGUCUGAGAGGGCGACCGGCCACACUGGGACUGAGACACGGACCAGACUCCUACGGGAGGCAGCAGUGGGGAAUUUUGGACAAUGGGCGCAAGCCUGAUCCAGCAAUGCCGCGUGCGGGAAGAAGGCCUUCGGGUUGUAAACCGCUUUUGUACGGAACGAAAAGGCUCUGGCUAAUACCUGGGGCUGAUGACGGUACCGUAAGAAUAAGCACCGGCUAACUACGUG
rnacentral:rRNA from 1 species